GGACCGUCCGUUACAGGAUCUGCCCCAUCUCAGAAACCUAGAAGAUGGCGGCAGGAGGGGGGCGCCCCAUGGUGCAUCUAGUCUCAGCUGGAGGUCCGUGCCCAGCAUCCACUACUCUUUCAGUAAAGUAGAUGGAGACGGGAUCAGAAUGGGUUCUUCUCACUUGACACAUAUUAGCAGAAUUGUGACUGCAGCUCUGGAGGUGACUGGAGUAUAAGACAUGAUGGAACAGGAGAAUGAUGUGUACAGCUCUGGAGGUGACUGGAGUAUAAGAUAUGAUGGAAGAGGAGAAUGAUGUGUACAGCUCUGGAGGUGACUGGAGUAUAAGAUAUGAUGGAACAGGAGAAUGAUGUGUACAGCUCUGGAGGUGACUGGAGUAUAAGAUAUGAUGGAAGAGGAGAAUGAUGUGCACAGCUCUGGAGGUGACUGGAGUAUAAGAUAUGAUGAACAGGAGAAUGAUAUGUACAGCUCUGGAGGUGGCUGGAGUAUAAGAUAUGAUGAACAGGAGAAUGAUGUGUACAGCUCUGGAGGUGACUGGAGUAUAAGAUAUGAUGGAACAGGAGAAUGAUGUGUACAGCUCUGGAGGUGACUGGAGUAUAAGAUAUGAUGGAACAGGAGAAUGAUGUGUACAGCUCUGGAGGUGACUGGAGUAUAAGAUAUGAUGGAACAGGAGAAUGAUGUGUACAGCUCUGGAGGUGACUGGAGUAUAAGAUAUGAUGGAACAGGAGAAUGAUGUGUACAGCUCUGGAGGUGACUGGAGUAUAAGAUAUGAUGGAACAGGAGAAU